AUAUUCCUUGACAUUCCUUCCUUCUAGUUAUCUUCUUUUUUUAUGGUUAAUGGAGAGUGAGUACUGAGUUGUGCGCGAUUCAUGCAAUUUUUGUGUUCUUAUGGUAAAUACUUACUUUUGAAUUGAACGAGCGAAUUAUAUUUUGAUAAACUCGUAAUUAUAUAUUUUGUUAUAUAAAUAUAAAUCAUGGCUACUUCGGUUAGCACGAAUCCAUCUACGUUGUUGCCUUUAGAACUUGUUGACAAAUGUAUCGGUUCUCGGAUACACAUCAUUAUGAAAAAUGAUAAGGAGAUUGUUGGAACUUUGCAAGGUUUUGAUGAUUUCGUUAACAUGUUACUGGAGGAUGUGACAGAAAGUGAAGCAACGCCGGAAGGUCGCAGAGUUACAAAAUUGGAUCAGAUUCUUCUUAACGGCAGCAAUAUUACAAUGUUGGUGCCUGGUGGUGAGAUGCCGGAUACGUAAAACUGACUUUUCAGUCGUCAUCCUAAGCGCAUUAGAUUUACUCCUAACAAGGUUAAGAUACACUAACCAAGCUACUUAUUGCAAAGAUAUAUAUGAUAGUAUGGCUAUGUAAUCCAUGGAAGGGUACUUCUCGAGACAGCAUUUGCCAGGCUACGAUUCCUAGUGAAUAAAUAUCGGCAGCGAACGUAGGUACGUCUCCUCGAAGCACUUCUGGUGCUGCGUAACCUGGUGUGCCCUGAUGAGAUAUUAGUUUUUAUGAGAAGAAAUUAAGUAAAAAUCUUAUCUAUAAACGUGUUUUCAUAAUUAAGUGUAUAUACAGGGUGAAUCUAAAGUUUUUGAGUAAA